rnacentral:lncRNA from 1 species
UCGUUGAGAUAAAUUCUUCUCCCACGGCUGAACAAGAAAUUCAGCUGUUUACUAGAAUUAAACAAUGCCAUAAGGUGAAACUGCUGCUGCCUGAUCCAGGAACUUGAGUACCCAAGUCUGGUGUUUUUUCAGCGAUGUCCAGAUGUCAUAGUUAACGACGAUUUACUUGAUUGUGUAAUAAGAGUUUGUGCAGCAAAAAAUUAGGGUGUGUUAUCUUUGCCGUUUUCUGUUUUCGAUUUUCCAAAACAGUGAAAACGCAAAAGUGUCGUUGAGAUAAAUUCUUCUCCCACGGCUGAACAAGAAAUUCAGCUGUUUACUAGAAUUAAACAAUGCCAUAAGGUGAAACUGCUGCUGCCUGAUCCAGGAACUUGAGUACCCAAGUCUGGUUAUUAAUUAUUAUUCCAAACAUCUUGCAUUCAGUUUUCACAAGUAGAAUAUGUCAUUUUCAUAAAUAUGCACAUAUAUGCUUCACGUCUCUACACAUUUC